AGUCGAGCGGCAGCACGGGUACUUGUACCUGGUGGCGAGCGGCGGACGGGUGAGUAAUGCCUAGGAAUCUGCCUGGUAGUGGGGGAUAACGCUCGGAAACGGACGCUAAUACCGCAUACGUCCUACGGGAGAAAGCAGGGGACCUUCGGGCCUUGCGCUAUCAGAUGAGCCUAGGUCGGAUUAGCUAGUUGGUGAGGUAAUGGCUCACCAAGGCGACGAUCCGUAACUGGUCUGAGAGGAUGAUCAGUCACACUGGAACUGAGACACGGUCCAGACUCCUACGGGAGGCAGCAGUGGGGAAUAUUGGACAAUGGGCGAAAGCCUGAUCCAGCCAUGCCGCGUGUGUGAAGAAGGUCUUCGGAUUGUAAAGCACUUUAAGUUGGGAGGAAGGGCAGUUACCUAAUACGUAUCUGUUUUGACGUUACCGACAGAAUAAGCACCGGCUAACUCUGUGCCAGCAGCCGCGGUAAUACAGA
rnacentral:rRNA from 1 species